rnacentral:rRNA from 1 species
UGCCUUACACAUGCAAGUCGAACGGUAACGGGUCCUUCGGGAUGCCGACGAGUGGCGAACGGGUGAGUAAUAUAUCGGAACGUGCCCAGUAGUGGGGGAUAACUGCUCGAAAGAGCAGCUAAUACCGCAUACGACCUGAGGGUGAAAGGGGGGGGAUCGCAAGACCUCUCGCUAUUGGAGCGGCCGAUAUCAGAUUAGCUAGUUGGUGGGGUAAAGGCCUACCAAGGCAACGAUCUGUAGUUGGUCUGAGAGGACGACCAGCCACACUGGGACUGAGACACGGCCCAGACUCCUACGGGAGGCAGCAGUGGGGAAUUUUGGACAAUGGGCGCAAGCCUGAUCCAGCAAUGCCGCGUGCAGGAAGAAGGCCUUCGGGUUGUAAACUGC